rfam:Heligmosomoides polygyrus genome assembly, scaffold: HPBE_scaffold0003840
GCGCCGGUGAUGUAAGGCGAACAUCGCUGCCCGGAAAGCAGAAGAUGCGGGUUCGAGUCCCGCCUGGCGCA